AGAGUUUGAUCCUGGCUCAGGAUGAACGCUAGCGGCAGGCUUAAUACAUGCAAGUCGAGGGGCAGCGGGGGUAGCAAUACCUGCCGGCGACCGGCAAACGGGUGCGGAACACGUACACAACCUUCCUUUAAGUGGGGGAUAGCCCAGAGAAAUUUGGAUUAAUACCCCGUAAGAUUAUUGAAUGGCAUCAUUUAGUAAUUAAAGCUCCGGCGCUUAAAGAUGGGUGUGCGUCUGAUUAGGUAGUUGGUGUGGGUAACGGCCCACCAAGCCUUCGAUCAGUAACUGGUGUGAGAGCACGACCAGUCACACGGGCACUGAGACACGGGCCCGACUCCUACGGGAGGCAGCAGUAAGGAAUAUUGGUCAAUGGACGCAAGUCUGAACCAGCCAUGCCGCGUGGAGGAUGAAGGUCCUCUGGAUUGUAAACUUCUUUUAUUUGGGAAGAAAUGCAUUUUUUCUAAGAUGUUUGACGGUACCAGAUGAAUAAGCACCGGCUAACUCCGUGCCAGCAGCCGCGGUAAUACGGAGGGUGCAAGCGUUAUCCGGAUUCACUGGGUUUAAAGGGUGCGUAGGUGGGCAGUUAAGUCAGUGGUGAAAUCUCCGGGCUCAACCCGGAAACUGCCAUUGAUACUAUCUGUCUUGAAUAUCGUGGAGGUAAGCGGAAUAUGUCUGUAGCGGUGAAAUGCUUAGAUAUGACAUAGAACACCAAUUGCGAAGGCAGCUUACUACCCGAAUAUUGACACUGAGGCACGAAAGCGUGGGGAUCAAACAGGAUUAGAUACCCUAGUAGUCC
rnacentral:rRNA from 1 species